CAGCCGCCGCGGGAAUACGUAGGUGGCAAGCGUCGUCCGGAAUUAUUGGGCGUAAAGGGCUCGCAGGCGGUUUCUUAAGUCUGAUGUGAAAGCCCCCGGCUCAACCGGGGAGGGUCAUUGGAAACUGGGAAACUUGAGUGCAGAAGAGGAGAGUGGAAUUCCACGUGUAGCGGUGGAAUGCGUAGAGAUGUGGAGGAACACCAGUGGCGAAGGCGACUCUCUUGUCUGUAACUGACGCUGAGGAGCGAAAGCGUGGGGAGCGAACAGGAUUAGAUACCCGCGUAGUCCCUGUCUCUUUACC
rnacentral:rRNA from 1 species